rnacentral:rRNA from 1 species
AGUGAACGCUGGCGGUAGGCCUAACACAUGCAAGUCGAACGGCAGCACAGAGGAGCUUGCUCCUUGGGUGGCGAGUGGCGGACGGGUGAGGAAUACAUCGGAAUCUACUCUGUCGUGGGGGAUAACGUAGGGAAACUUACGCUAAUACCGCAUACGACCUACGGGUGAAAGCAGGGGACCUUCGGGCCUUGCGCGAUUGAAUGAGCCGAUGUCGGAUUAGCUAGUUGGCGGGGUAAAGGCCCACCAAGGGGACGAUCCGUAGCUGGUCUGAGAGGAUGAUCAGCCACACUGGAACUGAGACACGGUCCAGACUCCUACGGGAGGCAGCAGUGGGGAAUAUUGGACAAUGGGCGCAAGCCUGAUCCAGCCAUACCGCGUGGGUGAAGAAGGCCUUCGGGUUGUAAAGCCCUUUUGUUGGGAAAGAAAUCCAUCUGGUUAAUACCCGGGUGGGAUGACGGUACCCAAAGAAUAAGCACCGGCUAACUUCGUGCCAGCCGCCGCCGUAACAC